rnacentral:rRNA from 1 species
GUAGUCCACGCCCUAAACGAUGUCUACUAGUUGUUGGGUCUUAAUUGACUUAGUAACGCAGCUAACGCGUGAAGUAGACCGCCUGGGGAGUACGGUCGCAAGAUUAAAACUCAAAGGAAUUGACGGGGACCCGCACAAGCGGUGGAUGAUGUGGAUUAAUUCGAUGCAACGCGAAAAACCUUACCUACCCUUGACAUGGCAGGAACCUUGGAGAGAUCUGAGGGUGCUCGAAAGAGAACCUGCACACAGGUGCUGCAUGGCUGUCGUCAGCUCGUGUCGUGAGAUGUUGGGUUAAGUCCCGCAACGAGCGCAACCCUUGUCAUUAGUUGCUACGCAAGAGCACUCUAAUGAGACUGCCGGUGACAAACCGGAGGAAGGUGGGGAUGACGUCAAGUCCUCAUGGCCCUUAUGGGUAGGGCUUCACACGUCAUACAAUGGUACAUACAGAGGGCCGCCAACCCGCGAGGGGGAGCUAAUCCCAGAAAGUGUAUCGUAGUCCGGAUUGUAGUCUGCAACUCGACUACAUGAAGUUGGAAUCGCUAGUAAUCGCGGAUCAGCAUGUCGCGGUGAAUA